UAAUAUAAGGAAGUGCGUAUUAGAUAAUGGAGAUGAAAGUUGAAAUAAUAUCGAGGGAAACAUUGAAGCCAAAAAUCCCAACUCCCCAUCUAAAACUCCACAAAUUAUCUCUCCUAGACCAACUUUCUCCAUUGGUCUAUGGACUUGAAUUUGUAUGCUACGCCUCACCCAACCCCAACAUACAAAUUGAUCAUGACAGUAGUAGUACUACGUUACUACUACUGUUGCUAGGCUUAAAGAGUCUCUCUCCAAAGCUCUAACUUUGUUCUACCCUCUUGCUGGUAGGCUUACUGUUAAUGAAUCAGCCAUUGAUUGCAAUGAUGAGGGUAUACCUUUCGCAGUAGCUAAAUGUCACUCCCCUCUUUCCGUUUUCCUUCAUCAUCCUAAUUGUAGUGGUAUGGUUGGGUGUUUCCUCCCUAGCAUUAUCACACAUGGAAGCACCUUCAGCUCCAGGUUAGUGAGUAGUUCUAGAGGUGAGCGGAUCGGGUAUCUGGUAAAAAACUAAGGAACCGGUACCGAUCAUAAUCGAGUCCUAGUUUUUGGAACCGGUCAAACCAGAUACAAUUUUUUUUGGAACCAGAACUGGAACCGACCAUUUAGCCUUUAUUUUUCAUGCUUACUUUAAUUAAUAAUUUUAUACUUUUGUUUUUGUUUUAAUAAAACUAUCAACUUAACAAUUCUUAACCCAAAACAAUAAUUAAUUAUCAUAUUUUUUGAACUACUUGUGUCCGUUUGCUACCAAGUACCUGGUCCCACUGGAUACCCGUCUCAAAACGAUAUCAACAGGUACCCACUGGAUGCUGGUUCCUAAAAUCUAGAUCCGGAAUCAGAACCGGAUCCAAACCCGCCGGAUCUUUUGCGGUUCCAGAUCUGAGACCAGGUCACUGGAAGUUACGGAGCUGGUUUUGUUCGCCAUACAACUAACAAGUAAGUAUAUUCGAUUGUGGUGGGAUGAUAAUAGCGACCAAGGGGCUUAACAAGUUCCUUGAUGCAACCUCAUGUGGUAUAUUCUUAAAAACUUGGUCUAACUUGGCAAGAGGGGUAAACGAGGAGGAAAUCAAUAAGCCUGACUUUGUUGUGGGCCCAUACCGCUGUGUGCUUUGGCUGCGAACAAAGUAGAUGGUACGUGCGUUGCAAAGGUAUUUGAGUUCAGUCCUAACUCUGUGUCCAUUCUACGGAUGAAAGCAAGGAGUGAUCGUGUGCCCAACCCCACCCGCGUUGAAGUUGUCACUGGAUUCAUUUGGAAGCAUGCCAUGGCCGCUGCCGCCACAAACCCGCAUGUUUUUGGUCCCUCGGUACUGGUGACCCAUGCUGUAAAGUGUAAACAUGCGGCCUCGCAUGAGUCCACAACUAUCACCAACAGCUUUCGGAAACUUGAUUUUCCAAGCUAUAUAUAGGUCGGUAUGAGGGUAACAACUGCAAGAACGACGAGGAAGCAACUGUGAUUUCAGCACCCGAAAUAUCAGAACUCGUUGAAGAAGUAUGGAGAGCAUUAUCAAAGGUUAAGGAUGCCGACUUCUUAAACAAGUUACAAGGAGAAGAAGGGGCUGAAAUAAUACGACAAUAUAAACAUGAGUUAGAUGGCAUAAAGGAAGAUCCAAACAUAAACAAUUACAGGUUUAGUAGUUGGAAUAGGCCGGGUUGGUAUGGAUCCUGAUUUUGGUUUAGGACUGCCGGUUUGGAGUGGAUUUAGUGGAGGCAGGAUGAGUUCCUCAUUCAGGAAUCUCAUUCUCUUGAUGGUGAGCCCUAAGCAUGGGAAUGUUCAAGCUACAUUGAUAUUGGAUGAAAAUCAGAUGAAUUGUUUGCAAUCUGAUCCUCACUUUCUUGCAUUUGCAUCCCUUGUAGAUUGUAGUUGUUGCUGAUGGAUCGUCCAAUUCAUGGUAAACUUUUUGAGGGAUGCUCAAUCGCAAUCCAAUGUAUUAACUACGUUACAAUUUGUUUUUUUCCUAUGAUUGUAUACAAUACACGCAUUCUACUA